AGCACCUGCUCUCGGUGACACAGCAGAACACAGUUCCUUUGGGGAAAGGAAUUCCUUUCUCAUCCAGCCCUCCCCCCACCCCCAGGUGCAUGCACUGAAACUGGGCUUUUUCCCAGGUGUAUCUCCCCAUUUCCAGGUGUAUCCCAUAUGUUUUGGGUUUGUAGCAGUGAGGAGGUUUGGUGACAAGCUGGGAACUUUGUUACAAACCAGGAAUGUUGUGCUCACUCCUGUGUGCAGGAAACAAGGAGGUGCUUUAAGGAGAACUUGAGUUCUGUUGUGGGUUUUUGGUUUUACUGCCUUUUUUGUGUUUUCCGAGAAUUGCAGGUACAGUGGGGUCUGGUUCCAAACUCUGAGUAAGUAAGUGCUUCUCUCCAGAGAUGCUUUUAAUUCUGGGAUAAUUUAAUUACAUAAAAGUUCUCAUUAACAUUUUACCUCUUUGUUAAUAGCAAGGAACUGCUGUCUGCUAGGGACUCUUCAGGUACAGUGCAGUGGGCAUUACAUGAGGUUUAUCAUUUUCUAGGCACCUGGAGGAAAAUGGUUUUAGCAUCUUGGAGAAGUAUUAAAAAUACUCCGAGAUGCCAAGGUUUGAGCUCUUGUUCCUGUGAUUCAAGGAUGAAACAGUUCUGCUUUUUUAAUUUUUUUCUUUUCAAAGAACAUAGUUAAUUUUCUCUUAUUUUUCCCCAAUAAUUGGGCACUUUUCUUCAGCUGUCUCAGCCACUUUGGUAAUCCAGGCAUUUAGGAGGGAAGAAGGGAUUUAAAUCCCCGAGGGGGAUCUAAAUCCCCAAUGCUCUGUUUAACAACCAAAAGGAUGUUGCAGCAACUUCUAAACUGAAGUGUAAAUCUGACUGUAUCCCUUUACAAGCCCCAAAAUUGUGAUCUUGCACUUAAACCCAGAAUGUAAUCUUGCACUUAGCCAUGUUUUCAGGGAUUUGGGCCACAGAAAAGCGACGCUGCUCCAAUAGAUUCCUUGGGUGAUGGAUACAGGGAUGGGUUGAUUUGUGGUACAACUUGAUCACAUUCAAAAUGGGGAAUAGGUUGUGAAUAGGAGAUGAAGGAGGAAAUGUCUUGAAUGUAUUGUAUGGGUGUAACUGAACUUGCUUGAGUUUCUGCCACAAAAAUAGAAAUUUUUGUUGCUGAGCCACUUUGAUUCCUUUAUCUGCCUGGAACGAGUGGACACCGUGUCCCAAGAACUAAGAAUUCCAAUGUGGCAGGAGAUUCUGGUUUUACAGCUGCUUUUCUUUCUAAAUGAGAAGAUAAAAGCCUCAUUUAAUGCUCUUAAAUUUGAGGGGUAAAACUCAGGAGUUCUGGGUUGUCCUUCAGGGUGAAUGUAAGAGAUGGCAGAAUUCAGCUGUUCAGCUUCCUAUUAACAACGAGAAUUUUGGGGAAUGACACCUUAAAUGCAAAUCACUGUGUUUUGGAAGAUCCAGAGUGUUUACCACUUAAUGCAAAGAAUGUUUUGGUUGGAGCAGGUGUCUGUUGUGUGUCAGCAGGGGAUCAACUCUGUUCAAGUGCUACUUGUGUUCAGAGGGGGUUUUCUCAUUGCAUCCGACAUGAAUCAUUUGCAGAGUUUUCUAGGAAAGAAACUUGAACCUCUGGGAAUUCAAAUCUACCCCAAACCAGGAAAAAAAAGCACUAAUGUUUGUGUUGGACACUGGAAGUCGCUGAGAGCAGCGUUUGUUCCGCUGAGGCACAGCAGACACCUGCUUAAAAGCCCAUAAAACUUGGGGUCAGCGUGGCUGGUCAAGGCAAACUCAGUGUGGGAAGAGCAUCCUGGGUGCUCUUCCACUUUUUCUUGGAAAAUCCUGAUGGUUUUAACUGCCACUGGUUGUUAUGAGCCAAAUUGUGCUACGCUGGAGGGUGAAAAGGAGCAGGUGAGGAUGUGUUUGACUCCAGGUUUUCUGGCUCCUUAUUUCAUGGGGUAUCUCCUUUAAAUCUGGUUUAUUUGUGGUGACUGCUCUGUUUUGCAAGCAAGGAUUUUAACACCCUUUGAGGGUUCUUAUGGCAAAACAUUGAGUGGCAGCACUUUGCCAGCCGUGGAUUCCAGCGCUGCCAUCCCUCAUGGGCUGUGCUUUCCUCCUUGGUCUGAGGGAUUCCCCAUUGGAGUAACUGUCCACUGAAGUUGUCUUGGCCAGGGCUGAGCAUUCAGAAGCCCGUGGGUGAUACCACUGUGUGCAGAGCAAAGUAGAUGUAGCAGUUGUUGGCUCUCUCCUUGUGUCUGGCAUUCCGUUGCUCUGGCGAGAGCUCGGUUUUCCUCCACAUUGUGUGCAGCUGAUGUUCCUGUAUUUCACUGGUGUGUCGAAUUAGCCUGGAAAAAGGAUGUCCUUUUUCCUGAAUCAUUUCACCCUUGUGCUUUAUGCUUUAGGGAAAGAACCUCAAAUGACUCAUAGUUUUGUUGGAGAUUUUAGUUCUUUGGGUUUUUUUUUUCUUCUUUUAAUUAGAAACAUUACGCAACUUUCUUGGCCUCCAUCCAGUUGCUUUGUUUGCUCCUGUUGAGCUGCUGUGGUGGGAACACCAAGGUUACUCUCAAUCCAGAGGUUUUAGGGUCAGAAAUACCAACACAUCCUUGUCAGCAUUGCAGAGAGAAGGGCCAGGCAGACAAAUCUUGCCUUCUCUCUUUUGUUUUCCCACGAGGAUGUUAAAGAUGGAAUAUUUCAGCGACAGCUUUCUCAGCCCCUGUGGAGAGCAGAGAAUGAGUGGAAAUUUCUUCCACGGGUUUGGGAACCCUCUGGUUGAUGGCAACUGAGGUGAAAGGCCUCAAGUGUUAAUGGGAGAGGAGGAGUGAAUCAAAAUUGUGAAGACAGGUUCAAAAACUCUGAGGACUCAGGGAAAAAAUGGCUUGGAAAAUGGUAAUUCCUGGCUCUAAGUGAAACAGUGUUGAGGGACUCCUGGGGAGUCUGUGUGCCCAGAGGGGAAGAAAUGAUGCCGUGUGGCUCUAGAGCUUUUGGGGUUCUUUCCCCUUUGUCCCCCGCUUUGUAGCAUUGAAGGACAGAUAUUCCAAUGAUUCAUAGACUGAACGAUGAGGUGAUUUUUGUAUCAGGCUUAAAACAGCCCGGCUGGUUCAGAGAAUGGUUCGUUGAAUAUUCAACUUCUUGCAGUUCUGAUUGUGUGCGAACGAUGGCUGAGAAAUAUGACUUGAAUAGUAACAAUUUUCAGUUCCAUGGGGUGUGUCUUUGAUUUGACCUUUCCUUUACUGUUGGCGCAGCCAAACGAGGGCAGAAGAGCUGUGUAACAACACUACAUUUCAUGGUUUUGGUGAUAAGUUGCCUUCAGGAAAUAACCCUGGGAGGAAAGUCAACCCAAUUAGCCAUAAUUGGGUUGGUUUUUCUGGUGGUUAAAUGGUUUCAAUGUGUCCCAUCAACUGUUACUGCAAGUUGGGUAAUCCUCAGUACUGUAAGCCUAGUUUAACCUUGGUCCAAAACGAAGCCCUGCACUACUUGUUUUGCAUCUCUCCCUGGAAGGCGACUUCAUUCCGAGGUUUUGUGCCCGUGGGUGGAAUUGGUGCUUUUUGAAAUCCAAGUAGAAUAUUCAGAAAGGCCUCGUAGCUGUUUAUGUUCAUCUGUAUAAUGUAGGGAGGGGGGAAAAAACCCCAAAUCUGGUGUAAACAUUUGUAUUGAAAUAACGUUUUCUUUCCUCCUGCAAGCAAAUCUGGUGGACUGCAGAAGACAUGGGAUACCAAGCUCUAAAUGGACCUUUGGGAAGAGAAGCUGUGGCUUAUGUGGAAUUUCCAUGGGCCUCCUGAUGGAAGAAAGCUUAUCUGUUUAGUAUUUGUGCAUUUUACUAAAAAUGGCAGCUUUAAAAAAAAAAAAAAGUUGUGUAUCUGCUAUUGUGAUGCCAAUGCCCGUGUUUUAAGUGGAAAAAAAAAAAUGACCUCUUUGCUUUGUGCUGUGUACACAAGAUUGCUGGAAAAAAAGUAAAGGAAUACCCUUUUUAUGGCUCACACAGCUUGAAAGUAGCUGUCACUCAAACAUGCGCUCACAGUUGAGCUGAUUUUGUUUCAUUCUAAAUAAAUUGUUUCUUUUGAGGAAAAAUGGUUUUUCUGCCUGGGAGUUGAAUUGACGACAAACGUUUGGCCCCGGUGUCGGCAGCGGAGGGGUCCCUGCUGCUGCUGCCCCGUGUCUGAGCUGAUAGUUGUGGGGCUUUGAGCAAGAACAGGGGAGAGAAACCGACACCUUUUCGCGUUGACCGACCUGUUGUGCCAAAGCGGAGGAAUUCUAGUUCACUGCCUUGCUGUGACCCCCCCUGGUCUGUGGUGAAAAAGGGGGUCACUCGCUGCCUCACUCCUCACCGGGACAGGGAAACGGUCCUGCUGCUGGCACACAAGGAGCAGGGAAGCACCACCCUGCAUCUCACAACUGUGGCCAAGUCUCGGGGCUUCGCUGGUCGGAAGAGCCGGAGUUCCUGAAUUUUUUAAGUUUCUUGAUUUGCUUUGUUCACCCAACGCGUUUUGCCUUUAGUUUUGAUUCUUGGUUGUUGGUUUUGUGUUUUUUGUUUUUUUUUUUUAAUUUGGAAGAAAAAAAAAAAAGGUUCGAGAUUGCUUUGAAUGUUGCACGUUAAAAAAAAGCCACCUUUGCACCAAAAUUGCCAAAAGAAAAGAGAAAUGAGUCCUUAAGAGUGUUUAAGUGCUGUUAAUAAAACGAGGCGCUCCUCUGUCUCCGGGGGCUUUUCAGCAGUUGUGGGUUUAGUGCUGAAUGGAUGAAGAGUUCCUGAGAGCUGGAGGCGGUAAUUUAAACCUUUGAGUUGGUGUCUCAGUGCCUUAUUUUGACCGGUUUUGAAGCCAGCACGCCUCGGAUGUGCAUGUACCCUGCUCACGCCCCAGGGUCCCCUUGCAGCCGCCUCCUGGGGUCAGCAAAAAUCGGAGGCGUCCCGAAAAUCCCGUGCCGCGUUCUCCUGUGCCGGGGGCUCCUGGGCCGUGGAAGCUGUUCCCGAGCAGGAGCACGACUCCACGUUUGCUGCAGGAGACUUCAGGGCGUGUUGGAGGACCGUCGUCAAGAGGAAGCUGCCCCUGUUGCAUCGUUGGCUUCAGAACCUCUCGUGGCGUUGCUUGGGUUCAAUUAAUGUGACGUGCGAUGAAGACGCUUCGAGUGGCACUUUGCCCUGAUUGCCUUGACAUACUUUAACUGCCGUGGAUAACGAACCUAGUGCUGUCAUAGUGCAGGAUCUUUGCUAGGAUGCAGUGCCUUCCAACCUACGGAUGCUCUGCAAGGUGCCUGUUCCCGGGGCAAAGCGCUGUGUAAAUCCCUAAAACAGCCAAAGGUGUGAGCAGAGGAGUGUGUUUGACCACCAGAUGUUACCCUGAGCUUGAUCAGCUGAAAGACAAAGGUCUGAAGACUCUUUUCCCACCUCCCAUCCAGAUGGAAGGACUCCCAGGGCACUGUUGUUUUCUCAUUAUGGACACUGGUUUCCUGCACAUUUUUUGGAUAGAUGAGAGGUCAUCCCUGCUGUGGGAAAUAGCAGAUCCUGGGAGAUGGAACAGCCACGUCCUUCCUGCAGGAAAAGAGGACCCUGUGGAGCAGCUGCUGGCCGAAUCCUCAUGGAAGUAUCACCUUCCCUCCCUGUCCUGGGGUCCCUCCCCACGGCUCCUCGUUUGGGUCUGAGCAGAACGAGCUGAGAUCUCUCUGUGCUUUGGCACUUGGGAGCUCCUUGGCCACCUCAUCCCAAGAGGUGACUCAGCUUUGCUCCUGGGAAUGCUCAGGAAGCCAAGGGAUGGCUCAGGUUUGGAACUGUCUGGAUGAACACCCCGGGAUUAAAUCCAAGCUCUGGAAAAGCACAGCUCAGGAGCAAAGGCAGUGACACCCAGGUCCAAGGGGCUUAUUGUUCCCAUCAAAUGACACUUUACACUGUGAAUCUCUCAGGUGGCUUUAAUGAGGAGAAAUAUCCAGAUAUCAAAACAGAAUCUGAUCAGGAGAAAUAUCCAGACACAAAACCAUAAUCUAAUCAGGAGCAGUAUCCAGAUAUCCAAAAUAAAUCUAAGCAGGAGAAAUACCCAGAUAAAAAACCAUAAUCUAAUCAGGAGCAAUAUCCAGAUACAAACCCAUAAUCUAAUCAGGAGCAAUAUCCAGACAGAUAUCCAGACUGAAUCUAAUCAGGAGAAAUAUCCAGAUACAAAACCAUAAUCUAAUCAGGAGCAAUAUCCAGAUGUCCAAAAUAAACCUAAUCAGGAGAAACAUCCAGAU